AGCUCUCCUGUUGUCUGUGGGAACGAUCCCGCCGCUUGCCACCAAUUGUAACGGCACCCCCAGGCAUAAAAGGGUUAAACCGCCAUUUAGUAGAUCUUCCCCUUCCAGAGAUGCAGGCACAGCUACUGCAGAACACCAAUCCGCUGAACAGGAAACCAUAUGAAUGCUGUAAGCAGUCGAAUAGGAAAAACCAUACGAAUAGG